rnacentral:lncRNA from 1 species
GCUAAUUCAGAUGGGAGAAGCUGAAAUUUUCUGCUCCGGUCCCGGUCUCGCGAAGUGACCCUCGCUUCGCGGUCCGAGACUUUUCUAGUUCUUCUGCUCGGGUCCCGGUCUCGCGAAGUUAACCUCGCUUCGUUGUCCGGGACCCGGGCACCAAACUUAUACUUCAUCUAAAUUCUUCCUUUUUUUACUUCACUUUGCAUGAAAACUUUCCAAAUCACUUCCAAUUGACUCCUACACAUAUAAAUAAUAUUAUUAAGCUCGAGUCACAAAUAUUCACACAAAAAUUAACAAGAUCGAGGUAUAAUGCAAGGCAAAUUACAUGCAAAAACAUGAAUUUUUAGCCAAACAUCAGAAUAACCAUGGAUCAUGAAUCGAUUUCUUCAUUCCCUCCAACGAAAAUAUUUUCGUGAUCUCAAUUUCUACCGUUAUAAAGACCAAAUGUCAUUGUAAUGUAACAUACAAUAGGAGCUCUAUAAUAAACUCUCAUGUUUAUGAUUUUCUCAAGGAAAAUUUUAGGAUGACAUCUACAAAAAGAAUGCCAGCACUCAACUUAAUUUAAUAUACACAGACAUAAUAGAAAACAUGUACCAGUGCAAACUUCAGACAUUUGGGUCUGUAAUUAGAGCUGAAAGUUCCUAACAUCAGACAUUGCAUCAGAAGUUAGGCUCGAGCUUCUCCAUGAGUUGUAUUUUGAAGCAUAACAACAACAACAACCCAGUAUAAUUUCACUAGUGGAGUUUGGGGAGAGUAGCGUGUACGCAGAUCUUACCCCUAACCUGGGGUAGAGAGACUCUUUCCGAUAGACUCUCGGCUCCCUCCCUCCAAGAACUCCCCACCUUGCUCUUGGGGUGACUCGAACUCACAACCUCUUGGUUGGAAGUGGAGGGUGCUCACCACUAGAACAACCCACUCUUGUCAGUAUGUUGAAGCAUAACUAUUCUUUUAAAGUAUUCCAGUUAAAGAGAACUACUGAGCAGAAAAAAAUCUAGUACAUGAUUUCUAGUUCAGCAAUAUACAAACAAACCUCAGAAAAAAAAUAAACAUGGAAUCUCGGUUCGGACCUGACCUCUUUUGGGGCAGUGAACUAGGGGUCUUCGAGCCUCAGAUCUACGCACUCGAACUCACAAAUCCAGACCAAAAGAACUCUAUUACGGCUAAAUGCCAAUAUUUUCACUUUAUGCUAAAGCAAAGAACCUAUUUACUGAAAGACUACAACAUCUGUUACUUGUCUCUAACCAAGAAAUUAUAGAAACAUGACCUGCACAAGCACCAGGUGAAUGUCCAAGAACAUCCAGUUGGUAAGAAAGAACUAACCAUCAGCUUACACAAUCUUCAAAAAACAAUUAUCUCUGUAGCAGUGCAAACUUCAGGGUCGAUGCUUAACGUUCACUUGUAGCAAUACCUAAACUUUAGACAUUUAAGUAUGAUCGUUCAUCUCAACUAAAAUGAAGGUUUAGCACUACCACUUGGCAGAGAGAACCUUUACUAUAUUUGCAACAGCAGUAGAAAGUAUGUACAAGCACACAAUUAUUGGUACAGGGGGAAAUUAACAAAUUUUCACUUUAUAGUCUAGAUAAGUAAACCAAUUACAAGAUCUAGCAUUGAUAUUCAAAAAUUAGUUUUAUUAUGAUUGCCUCCUGGAAGAGGACUAUACAGAGUUUCUUUCACAUUUUCAUAAAAUUUCCCACAACCUGAGAAAUUAAUAAACUUAAAACAGCGAGCACUCAUCUUUUCUUGACAAAAAUUGUAUAGAACUCACAAAAGAAAUUAUCCAGCUUAGAAAAGAAUUAGUCUGCAUAUGGUGUGAUUGCGAGACAGAGAAGCUAAUCCAAAAUCUGGUGAAUCUAAUAUCUCCGGUUACCAUUAAUAGAAAUUUAGCAGCGAAAAAAGGAGGAUUUACAUACAGCACCAUGGAGAUCGAAAGACAACUGCCAUGGGUCUGAAGUUCAGCAAUAGCAAGCAAAUUUCAAUCCAUUACAUCUGAAGUUUGCCCGUCGCAGUGCAAACUUUAGACCUCGGGUCUGAAGUUUCAACAACUUCAAACAUACAAAUAUUGAUAUUAGGCUUGCAUAUAAUUGAAGUUUCAACAACUUCAAACCUGCAUGUCUGAAGUUAACUUUGGCAUAUUGCUUGUGCAGUUCGAACUUAAGACAUUUCGGACUGAAUUGCUUGUGUAGUUCAAACUUCAGACAUUUUGGACUGAAGUGAACCUUGGCAGUCCGCAGUACCCAACUUCAGAUCUACAUGUCCGAAGUUAACCUUGGCUUAUUGCUUGUACAGUUCAAACUUCAGACAUUUCGGACUGAAGUUAACCUCAGCAUAUUGCUUGUGCAGUUCCAACUUCAGACAUUUUGGACACCUUGGCAGUCUGCAGUACCCAACUUCAGAUCUGCAUGUCCUAAGUUAACCUUGGCUUAUUGCUUGUGUAGUUCAAACUUCAGACAUUUCGGACUGAAGUUAACCUCAGCAUAUUGCUUGUGCAGUUCGAACUUCAAACAUUUUGGACUGAAGUUAACCUUGCCAGUCCGCAGUACCUAACUUCAGAUCUGUCUGAAGUUAAUUUUGGCAUAUUGCAUGUGCCGUUCGAACUUCAGACAUUUCAGACUGAAGUUAACGUUGGCAGUCGGAUCGACAGUCCCCAACUUCAGAUUUGUAUGUCUGAAAUUAACCUUGGCAUAUUGCUUGUGCGGUUUGGAUUUCACACAUUUCAGACCAAUCCGCAAGACCCAACUUCAAAUCUAUAUGCUUAAAAGUUUGAACUAUCAAGCCUAAGUUCAAACUCAAAUGUAUCAAUAUAGUGGCUAAAAAGAGCUUUUUUAGAGUGAGAUUCUCAAAAAUUAUAUUGAAAUGGAUACUGGAGCGACUUUUACGAAGAGUAUUUCUACGUCCUUCAAGCUUCCAGUAGUUAUUUUUCAACUAUUUAAACUUCUUUCCCCACUGUAACCCAAACAAAAAAAUCGAAAAUCUAUCAACAUUAUCAACUAAAAAUUGAUAGAGAAAUAGAAAUCCUAGCUCAAAAUACUCACCAAAAUGCAACAAGAGUUCGAAGAAUGCUCUUCGUGAAUCAUUACAUCUUCCACCAAAGCUAUUACCUCUUCAUCUCAAGCUUUAGAUCUGAAACCAAUAAUUAAGCAGGAAAGUACACAGAAAAUAAAGAGAACGGAAUGAGAUAUUACAUAAAAAUAAAGAGAACGAUUUAAGUUGAAGAGAAAAUCAUUGAGAACUAAGUGUUGGAUGGAUCUACUGCGUUGAAGGAUGUACAAGUUUUCUUUUUGUUUUUUUUUUGAGCCGAGGUCUUUCGGAAACAGCCUCUCUGCUCCUUCGGGUAGGGGUAAGAUCUGCAUACACACUGCGGACACACUACCCUCCGAUACCCCAUUAAUGGGAUUUUACUGGGUUGUUGUUGUUGUUGUUGUUGUAUUAUAAACUGGGUACUAGUUAAAUAAUGGGAUUUUUACACAAAUAGCCAGUCAUAUUAAUUAUUAAUUUUUCUAGGCAUAUAUAUAGAUUAUACAUUGAUAAUACACAAUUAUACAUAUGUAAUACAUAAAUUAUGUAUAUAUUAUACAUUCACAGGC